GACAGAGGGUGCAAACGUUGCUCGGAAUCACUGGGCGUAAAGCGCACGUAGGUGGCGCUGUAAGUCGGGUGUGAAAUUUCGGAGCUUAACUCCGAAACUGCAUUCGAUACUGCGGUGCUUGAGGACUGGAGAGGAGACUGGAAUUCAUGGUGUAGCAGUGAAAUGCGUAGAGAUCAUGAGGAAGACCAGUGGCGAAGGCGGGUCUCUGGACAGUUCCUGACACUGAGGCACGAAGGCCAGGGGAGCAAACGGG
rnacentral:rRNA from 1 species